GAUGAACGCUGGCGGCGUGCCUAAUACAUGCAAGUCGAGCGAACAGACGAGGAGCUUGCUCCUCUGACGUUAGCGGCGGACGGGUGAGUAACACGUGGAUAACCUACCUAUAAGACUGGGAUAACUUCGGGAAACCGGAGCUAAUACCGGAUAAUAUAUUGAACCGCAUGGUUCAAUAGUGAAAGACGGUUUUGCUGUUACUUAUAGAUGGAUCCGCGCCGCAUUAGCUAGUUGGUAAGGUAACGGCUUACCAAGGCAACGAUGCGUAGCCGACCUGAGAGGGUGAUCGGCCACACUGGAACUGAGACACGGUCCAGACUCCUACGGGAGGCAGCAGUAGGGAAUCUUCCGCAAUGGGCGAAAGCCUGACGGAGCAACGCCGCGUGAGUGAUGAAGGUCUUCGGAUCGUAAAACUCUGUUAUUAGGGAAGAACAAAUGUGUAAGUAACUAUGCACGUCUUGACGGUACCUAAUCAGAAGGCCAGGGCUAACUACGUG
rnacentral:rRNA from 1 species